AAUUUUGGUCCUUUGACCGGUUGGUCAAUGGGUGGGUGUGUGUCUUGGACACUUAUGUUCUUCCGACACUACAGAUGAUCCACCGCCUCAAGCUCGAUACCUUUUAAACAAACAAAAUCCAGUGCUUCUAAUCUUCUAAUUAUCCACUGCUUCCAAUCCAUUCAACAUUAACGAUGUGUCAAAAAUUUUUGUAUCUCUCUCAUCGGGUUUGAACCCCUCCCAAACCUCCGAUGUCGUUUCAUCGCCUUCAAUCGAAUCGACGCCGCCGUGAAAGGAAGACAACUUGUUGGUCCAAAACGAAAUCACGACUGCCAAUGAGGAACACGAUCGAUCGGAUUUCGAUAUUGACUAUGAGUUUGAAUCGGAGUCGGAGUCGGGGGUAUUUAGUGUAAUCAUCAGACGAUCAAAGCGGAAACGACAAGGUGAGGCGGCGGAGACAAUCGGUCGAUGAGGUCGACGGCUACCACUCCUCUGUAUUUCACUUUCUAUUAAUUUUGUUCUAUGUCGACUUUUAGUAAUUCGGUUUGGGGUUGUAGGUAACAGUCGAUCGUCAGAGGAAAAAUCUUUGGUAGAAUGAGGCAUUCGUUCUGCGCUCUACUCCCUUUCUGUAAAAGAACCCUAAUUUUCGCUCUUUCCUGGAACUCCAAAACGGAUCAUAGGUCUUUUAGAGGACCAAUCUCUGGUGAUUGACUUUUAAAAGGAACUUCAUGUAAUCAACCUACCAGAAGAGUAGGUAUUGGAUUCUAUUUUGGGGUUUUAUUGAGGGCGUAAUUUGGGGUUUUUUCAACACCUGUGCAUUUGCUUUAAUUCAACUCCAAGUGGACAUGAAAAAAAAAACCAAGUGCAGAAGCGAAGUAUUUAAUCUGUUGAUGCAUUUUAUCAAUGAUCACAAAAGUUUUGUAACAAUUUGCUUCUCACAUUUAGAUGAUUCUAAUGUUGUAUUUGUUUUUCUUUUGUUUUAGCUGGUGUCUCAACAUUAACAAUAAAGUAUGUUGCUAUUUCCCUCUAUUUAAAUGGAUUUUUGGUUUUGUGUGUAUAUGUAACUUUAUCCGAAACUAGGUAUAUGACUGUUUGUAUGCAUCCCUAUUUUAAAAUAGAAGUUCAUGUAUUAAAUUUGA